AACGUAGGACGCAAGCGUUAUCCGGAGUUACUGGGCGUAAAGGGCAGGCAGGCGGGUCGAUAAGUUGGAUGUGAAAUCUCCCUGGCUUAACCGGGAGAGUGCAUUUGAGACUGUCGACCUGGAGGGCAGCAGAGGAGCGUGGAAUUCCGGGUGGAGUGGUGAAAUGCGUAGAUAUCGAGAGGAACACCUGCGGCGAAGGCGGGUAGCUGGGCCGACACUGACGCUGAGGCGCGAAAGCUAGGGGAGCGAACGGG
rnacentral:rRNA from 1 species